CUAUGAUUGAAAUUGUCGAAGUUGAAAAAUGAUAGAGGUACUAGUUCGUUAAUAUGACUUUAUGUUUUUUUCUAAUUCAUUUGGGAGAGAAGAAAUGGCUGUAUUUAUCAUUUUGGCAUUUGAGUGAUUGAAAUGAGUUAAUAUACACUACUGUAAAUCUCAUUCCAAAUAUAAGCACUCGGAUAUAAGCCCCCCUCCCGAAUAUUAGCACACCCAAAUAUAACACCCCCCCCGAAUAUAAGCCCAGUAGCCCACUACAUUAUUCAACAUUGACAUUGCCUUUUAUAGCAGAGAAUGAUAUUUAAAGACAUUGUCAUUGUCUUUAUAUCUUACUAUGUUAAUCAAAGCGAGUUAUUAAUACACGUUUAUUUUCCUGUUUAUGACUAACUUGAUUACGUCUGAUUUAUUAGUUACCAACACAAAAGAUCGUCCAUGUAUUAACCCCCCCCGUAUAUAAGCCCUCCCCCUUGUAUAAGCUCAUCAAAAAUCGCCUACGAAAGUAUAUAAGCCCAUGCACAGGGCUUAUAGUUAGGUUUACGGUAUAUCGAAUGUCAUGCUGAAUGUCAUGUUGAAUCUGAUGCGUACUUCACAAUGGUUGCUAUUUCGUUGUAUUAAAUUUCAAUAGUAUUACUAUUUUAAUUCAAAUUUUGUUUGAUAUUUAUAUUUCAAAAUGUGCUUUAGUUUUAAAGCUUUGCACAGAAUAUAGUCAGUACGAGCACAAUGGCUCCUUUCAGAUUGAAUAUGUAAAAAUCGAGUAUUUGAUAGCGUGUGCUUUGAGCAUAUGGCUUUGAGGCUUAUACAUAAAUAAAACGCCUGAUAUAAAUUGAUCAAUAAUCAGUGCGCGCGAGCACUCCAAAAUCACAACAAAUAACAGAAUAUACGGCAAGUUAAAAACAACAAAGCUUUACCUACCUCGAUUUAAUUUUCUAAGGCGCUCAAUUUGUAAAUUUUCGGCGAAUAAUCGAUAUGUCUUUGCGUUUCCUCGACGAAAACCCGGUAUGAAAAUGCUCGUCGGAAAAACGCGACGUAUUUGUCGUAUUUUACGAACCUGCCACGUGACUGGUACGCUCACCGCUCACUCACCGACACGACACGAAAUUUAGAGCUAUAUGAAAGUUGCAUGCCAUAUAUGGCAUGCAACAAAAAAC